ensembl:lncRNA
UCAUGAGUACCAUUCACAGAGAGUUGGGGAAUGGCUGCAAUCACAGCAUUGUAAGAUGUGCCAUGGGCUCCCCAGUUUCACCCAUCGUGGCCAAUUUGUACAUGGAAGAAGUGGAAAAGAGGGCGUUGCUAUCCUACCCUGGAACACCACCAAGCCAUUGGUUCAGGUAUGUGGAUGACACCUGGGUGAAAAUCAAAUCUCAGGACGUACUACAUUUCACGGAUCACAUUAACUCGGUGGACCAACACAUCAAAUUCACCAGGGAGGAUAUUAAAAGUGGCAGGUUAGCCUUCUUAGACUGUGAGAUUUCCAUCAGUAAUGGGGGACAUCUAAAAGCUGACGUGUACCGUAAACCUACACAUACGGAUCAGUAUCUAAGGUUUGACUCUCAUCAUCCACUGGAGCACAAACUGGGUGUCAUCAGGACGCUACAACACAGAGCGAACACCAUCCCCACUGACACAGCGGCCAGGGAAGCAGAAGAACAGCACAUCAAGAAGGCCCUGAGUAAAUGUGGUUAUCCCAGCUGGACUUUUGUCAAAGCUGGGAAGGCACCUAAAGAAAGCUCCAGCCGAUCCAGGAGAGAAGGACAACCGCUGCCCAGGCGAAAACCUGUAGUGAUCCCAUAUGUGUCAGGAGUAUCGGAGCAGUUGAGAUGCAUUUUUUCUAAACACUGGGUCUCUGUGGCUUUUAAACCCCAAAAUACGCUGCGCCAAAAACUGGUCCACCCCAAGGAUCGGGUCCCCCGACACAAACAGAGUAACACAGUGUACGCUGUUCAGUGCAGGAGGAUUGGCAGGAUUUAUACAUCGGGGAAACCAAACAACCUCUGGCUACAACACAGAAGAGCCACCUCGUCAGGCCAGGACUCCUGUAGUUCAUGGACGUUGGUGUUGAUGUCAUCGAUCUGUAGGCCAAGCAGUGUGUUUGUUCUGGUUCAAUCAUUUAUUUGUCUGUCAGUGGUCACGCUGCACUUCAGUCUGUUUUAUCUCCUCGUCUGUCACUUUUGGGAAGUCGGAUUUUACCCCUUACCGGAAUUAUUUGCUUCUCUGGCUGAUGUCCAGUUGGAUUGAAUUUUUGCAUUUUGAACUUUAACCUUGGUCUUCUGUGUUCUGUGACUGGGCCGUCUUCCCUCUGUCUCUCAUUACAAGGAGCCGGGGAUCGAACCACCAAAAACCACCAACCACCUUUAAAUAAGAUCCAAUGAGACACAGAUCGUGCAAAGCGAGGACCCAAAUGCAGACGAUUAUAGGCAGGAAGGAGUUAACUGAAGCUGAGCUAUUGAUUUAUUAAGGCUGAUUGGGAGAAAAUACAGAACUAAAAAGCAAAACAAAACUAAAACAGAAAACCUAAGCUGACAAACGCAGGGAACGGAGAACACGGACCGUGAAGAACCACAAGGGUAGAUCAACAGUCUGACGAAGAGCAGAGGAAACACUGACGGGUGAAUAAACAUGGAGACAACACAGAAAGGAAACUCAACAACCUCAAAUAAUCACCAAACAACAUAAGCACAAGAAAACAAAACCAGGAAAUGAGAUGGAGAAGUCCAUAAACACAAAUCCCUGGGUCAAAGAUCCAGAACCGUGACACAGACUGAGAGCACACCUGUGUUCAGGUAAACCUCUGCAGUUGUUGUAUUCUAGUUUCAUUUGUAACAGACUCCAGACCACCCAACAGGGUAUUCAUAACAGGGGCUCAGACUGACUCUGCUGCGUUACAUAGCAACAUACAGUGUGUCAUCACAGCACGCUCAUUCCUGUGUGUCACGCUCUAAAACAUCCGUGUAGCAACACAGCCUACUGCCAACAAACUGCAUCUGCUUCACUGAGAGCUAAAGCCAGACACAGAACAGUUUCCACAGAGAACAUUCGUCUGUCUUCAAACGAAGGAUGAAGCUCCAGGGGCAAAUUCUUCCCAGGAGUCUUUGCGUGUUGACGUCACAGAGCUCCUCCUCCUUCUUCAGAGCUAGCGGACGCAGCACGAUGGAAGAAAAUCAGGCACAGGUCAUGAUACUGCUCCUGCAAGAGCUGAACAGACUGACUGAGGAGCAGUUUACCAGUUUCAAGUGGCAACUGGGAUGCAGGAUGCGGGAUAUACCUGCAUACAAGCUGGAGAGGGCAGACCGACAUGAAACUGUGGAUCUGAUGGUGCAGCAUCACCCCCAUCAGGCCGUGGUCUUCACCACUGACAUUUUUAGGGCCAUCGCCAGGAACGAUCUGGCUGAGCAUCUGACUCAGCAACUGGCUGAUAUCAACAUGGGAGAUCUGAGAUGACGGGUCUUCGCCUGAAGCUCCGGAAGCAUCAUAACACUCUCAGCUCCCACAGCGCCACGUUCACCAGCACGAAAUACAAAUCCAUGUUUGUUUAUUGAUAAAUAAUCAACUUGUUUGACAUUAUCUCUGCCUCUGUGACCCAAACUCUGUGUUACAGCUCCACCGUCAGGGCAACACUGGACUGUCCACCCUUAUGUAACCGGGUUAUAAUUAGAGAUGGCACGAUACCACUUUUUUAUGUCCGAUACCGAUAUCAUAAAUUUGGAUAUCUGCCGAUACCGAUAUGAAUCUGAUAUAGUGUUUUUUAAUCAAUAAAACUGUUUUUUUAAUAUCUUGCUGCAUUUUGUAUAAGUUCAUACUCAAGUUUAAAUAAACAACAACACUAAAGCUAUUCUGUUAUACUUGUAUGUAAAAAAUACACUGCACCCAAAAUAUUUCAUAGUUCAGCAACACUGAUCAAUCUAAUAAACUUAAACCUGCUCCAUCCUCCCUAUUCUGGUAUUUUAAAGAGUACUUAGCAGAAGUAACCUAACCCUAUCCCUCGGGAUGAAUAAAGUAUGAUCAAUUAAUCAAUCAAUCAAAUAUUAAGCAACCUAACUAAUAGGGUUGCAAACUCCCAGCAAAAAAAAAAAAUAGGGAACCAAUCCCCACCCUCCACCUCAUGAUGCUUAAUCGAUGUAAUCAACUUUAAUUUGAUGUAGUGCAUAGAAAAUGCACAGAAAUAAAUUAUUUUUCAAGAAUAAUUAAAUAGAUUCAACAUCUUUCUUCAACAGAGUUGCAGACUGCACAGAUGGUACCUUCCCAAAGGAAAAAGUACUAUAGCUUACUAGGGUAUAUUAGACUUAACAGUUACUAUAUACAGUAAUGGACUUCUAUACAUUUUACAUCAGAUUAAAACUUUGGGUGUAAGAUUCAGAUAAUUAUUUAUUAAAAGCUCGACAUUUUAAAUGAGAAUAAGAAAGAAAAGUAUGUCUUUGUGCCCC